rnacentral:rRNA from 1 species
AUUGAACGCUGGCGGCAUGCUUUACACAUGCAAGUCGAACGGCAGCACAGCAGAGGUAACUCUGUGGGUGGCGAGUGGCGAACGGGUGAGUAAUACAUCGGAACGUACCCUGUUGUGGGGGAUAACUACGCGAAAGCGUAGCUAAUACCGCAUACGCCCUGAGGGGGAAAGCGGGGGACCCUAAAUAGAGCGCACUGGGGAGUGCGUUGUAUUUAGGGCCUCGCGCAAUAGGAGCGGCCGAUGUCGGAUUAGCUAGUUGGUGAGGUAAAGGCUUACCAAGGCGACGAUCCGUAGCUGGUCUGAGAGGAUGAUCAGCCACACUGGGACUGAGACACGGCCCAGACUCCUACGGGAGGCAGCAGUGGGGAAUAUUGGGCAAUGGGCGCAAGCCUGACCCAGCCAUGCCGCGUGAGUGACGAAGGCCUUAGGGUUGUAAAGCUCUUUCGGCGGGGAAAAAUCGCCUCUCCUAAUACGGGGGGUGGAUGAUGGUACCGGACUAAG